rnacentral:rRNA from 1 species
CUGUAGUCGUUCCGGUACCCGUAUCUUUUAACCGGUCCCGUAGAUUUUUAUCCUGGCCCGGGUGGUUUAAAGCCGGUCGCCUGAAUUUCACCUGAGUAACCUGCCCCUGACUCUGGGAUAAGCCUGGGAAACUGGGUCUAAUACUGGAUAUGACUACUGGCCGCAUGGUCUGGUGGUGGAAAGAUUUAUCGGUUGGGGAUGGACUCGCGGCCUAUCAGCUUGUUGGUGAGGUAGUGGCUCACCAAGGCGACGACGGGUAGCCGGCCUGAGAGGGUGACCGGCCACACUGGGACUGAACACGGCCCAGACUCCUACGGGAGGCAGCAGUGGGGAAUAUUGCACAAUGGGCGCAAGCCUGAUGCAACGGCGCGGCGUGAGGGAUGACGGCCUUCGGGUUGUAAACCUCUUUCAGUUGGGAAGAAGCCUUUCGGGGUGACGGUCCCUUCAGAA